UGAGUACGAGAUGCUACGGCAUUGAAGCAGUCUAUGUCAUACUUCCAAGAAAAGCUUGCACUGUCAUAAACAAAGAAUGCCUGUACCAUAACCGACACAGGUGGGUAGGUAGAGUAUACUAAGGGGCGCGAGAUAACUCUCUCUAAGGAACUCGGCAAAAUGACUCCGUAACUUCGGGAGAAGGAGUGCCUUAUUUUUAAGGUUGCAAUAACAAGAUCCAAGCAACUGUUUAUCAAAAACACAGGUCUCCGCUAAGUCGUAAGACGAUGUAUGGGGGCUGACGCCUGCCCAGUGCCAGAAGGUUAAAGAAUUUGGUUAGCAUUCGCGAAGCUGAUAACUGAAGCCCUGGUGAACGGCGGCCGUAACAAUAACGGUCCUAAGGUAGCGAAAUUCCUUGUCGGGUAAGUUCCGUCCCGCACGAAAGGCGUAAUGAUUUGGAUACUGUCUCGGAGGGGGACUCGGUGAAAUAGACUUGUCUGUGAAGAUGCGGACUACCUGCACCUGGACAGAAAGACCCUAUGAAGCUUUACUGUAACUUGAAAUUGAAAUUGGACUUUAGUUGCGCAGGAUAGGUGGUAGGCGUUGAGAAUAUUCUUGCGGGAGUAUUGGAGCCAUCAGUGAGAUACCACUCUUCUAAUGUUAGAUUUCUAACUUUGUAUCAUUAUCUGGUCAAGGAACAGUUUCAGGCGGGCAGUUUGACUGGGGCGGUCGCCUCCUAAAGGGUAACGGAGGCGCACAAAGGUUUCCUCUGAACGAGUAGAAAUCGUAUCUAGAGUGUAAAGGCAUAAGGAAGCUUGACUGUGAGACCUACAAGUCGAGCAGGGACGAAAGUCAGUCUUAGUGAUCUGACGGUGCUGAGUGGAAAGGCCGUCACUCAACGGAUAAAAGUUACUCUAGGAUAACAGGCUGAUCUCCCCCAAGAGUUCACAUCGACGGGGAGGUUUGGCACCUCGAUGUCGGCUCAUCGCAUCCUGGGGCGGUAGUACGUCCCAAGGGUUGGGCUGUUCGCCCAUGAAAGCGGUACGCGAGCUGGGUUCAGAACGUCGUGAGACAGUUCGGUCCAUAUCCGGUGUAGGCGUUAGAAUAUUGAGAGGAGCCUUCUCUAGUACGAGAGGACCGAGAAGGACAUACCUCUAGUGUACCAGUUAUCGUGCCAACGGUAAACGCUGGGUAGCUAUGUAUGGAGUGGAUAACCGCUGAAAGCAUCUAAGUGGGAAGCCCACCUCAAGAUAAG
rnacentral:rRNA from 1 species